ACAGCUCGGAGUGCCCUCCCCGGCGGAGGGACGGGGAAGGGGCUCGGGCGCUGCGCUGAGGCGCUGCUGCCCCCCUGGCUCUGAGGAGAUCCCGCGGGCGGCGGGGAGGCGGCUUUGGGGGGCUCCUUUAUUAUUUUCAAACUACAAAGUGCGGCGCGGGGAGGUGAUUACGGAGGGGAAUCCCUGAAUACAGGCUCCGGCGAAGAAGGCAGGGCUGCCGGGGCCGCUCAAGAAGAGAGCCCGCAGCCUCCUACAGCACCACUACAGGCACUGAGAGGACAUAACAGCAGAGAGCGGCUCCUCUGCCCCGCGAAACAACAACUUUCCUACCAUCUUGGAGCAGAUCGAUGGCUCUUCUACUGCCUUAGCACCUUCAACAACAGCUUUCACACACUUGGCCAUUGUCUGGGAUGCUCUACUGAUUGGAUCUGCAAAGAGACCGAUGUGUGCACUUCACUUCAGGCAAUACAAAUGCAUACAGAUAACUUAAAAGCCUCCUCUACACAAACUUCAUAACUGUCCCUCCCCCCCCAUUAAAUAAAAUGUAGAACCUAAUCCUA